AAUCAACGCUGGCGGCGUGCCUAACACAUGCAAGUCGAACGCGAAAGACCCCGCAAGGGGUAAGUAGAGUGGCAAACGGGUGAGUAACACGUGGGUGACCUGCCCUCGAGUGGGGGAUAACGUCCCGAAAGGGACGCUAAUACCGCAUAAUAUGCCGCCUUUUAAGAGGUGGACAUCAAAGCUGGGGAUCGCAAGACCUCGCGCUUGAAGAGGGGCCCGCGCCUGAUUAGCUAGUUGGNGGGGUAAUGGCUCACCAAGGCAACGAUCAGUAUCCGGCCUGAGAGGGCGGACGGACACACUGGGACUGAGACACGGCCCAGACUCCUACGGGAGGCAGCAGUGGGGAAUUGUUCGCAAUGGGCGCAAGCCUGACGACGCAACGCCGCGUGGAGGAUGAAGACC
rnacentral:rRNA from 1 species